UAGGGAAUAUUGGACAAUGGGGGAAACCCUGAUCCAGCAACGCCGCGUGAGUGACGAAGGCCUUCGGGUUGUAAAGCUCUGUCGCACAGGACGAAAAAAAUGACGGUACUGUGCAAGAAAGGACCGGCCAACUUCGUGCCAGCAGCCGCGGUAAGACGAGGGGUCCUAGCGUUGUUCGGAAUUACUGGGCGUAAAGCGCAUGUAGGUUGCUUCGAAAGUCAGGUGUGAAAGCCUUGGGCUCAACCCAAGAAGUGCACUUGAUACUGCGAAGCUUGAGUAUGGGAGAGGGUAGUAGAAUUCCUGGUGUAGUGGUGAAAUACGUAGAUAUCAGGAGGAAUACCGGUGGCGAAGGCGGCUACCUGGCCCAAUACUGACACUGAGAUGCGAAAGCGUGGGGAUCAAACAGG
rnacentral:rRNA from 1 species